rnacentral:rRNA from 1 species
UUAAAUAUAUUUGAAUGAAGAGUUUGAUCCUGGCUCAGGAUGAACGCUGACAGAAUGCUUAACACAUGCAAGUCGAUUCGAUUUACCUUCGGGUAUUGAGGAUGGCGGACGGGUGAGUAACGCGUAAGGAACUUGCCUCUUGGUCUGGGACAACUGUUGGAAACGACAGCUAAUACCGGAUAUUAUGAGAUUCUCGCAUGGGAAACUUAUGAAAGCUAUAUGCGCCAAGAGAGAGCCUUGCGUUCCAUUAGCUAGUUGGUGGGGUAACGGCCCACCAAGGCGACGAUGGAUAGCCGGCCUGAGAGGGUGAACGGCCACAAGGGGACUGAGACACGGCCCUUACUCCUACGGGAGGCAGCAGUGGGGAAUAUUGGACAAUGGGCCACAAGCCUGAU